rnacentral:rRNA from 1 species
CAAUAGCGUAUAUUAAAGUUGUUGCAGUUAAAAAGCUCGUAGUUGGAUUUCGGGAUGGCCCGGUCGGUCUGCCGCAAGGUAUGUUACUGGCCGAGCUGUUCUUCUUCGCAAAGACUGUGUGUGCUCUUAACUGAGUGUGCUCAGGAUCUGUGACGUUUACUUUGAAAAAAUUAGAGUGUUCAAAGCAAGCCAGCGCUUGAAUACAUAAGCAUGGAAUAAUGGAAUAGGACUUUGGUUCUAUUUUGUUGGUUUCUGGAACCUUAGUAAUGAUUAAGAGAGACAGUUGGGGGCAUUCGUAUUUCGUUGUCAGAGGUGAAAUUCUUGGAUUUACGAAAGACGAACUACUGCGAAAGCAUUUGCCAAGAAUGUUUUCAUUAA